GGCCUUAUGGUCUAGUAGCAUGAUUCCUGCUUUGGGUUUAACAAUGCAGGAGGUCGUGGGUUCAAUUCCCGCUGAGGCCC